AGUGCACGGGACACCAGCAGGCUCGAUCGUGCAUGGCAAUGCACGACGCAGCAAGAGAUCUCGUCCAUAGAUCACAACCCUCUGAUCUGAAUGUGUCCGAUCCGAUGGUUCUAUUAUCCUCCUCAGAAGAGGCUGCCGACGACCGCGGCGGCGAGCGCGGCGGCGACCCACCUGGCCACCCCGGCGCCGGGCGCGGCCGCCGACUUCUUGUCCUCGUCCGAGGCGGUGGAGUCGUCGGCGACGGGCGGCUCGGCGAUGCCGGUGGACUUCUUGUGCUUCUUCUUGGUCUUGGACUUGGUCGGCGCCGGUGCGGGCGCGGGCGCCGGGGUGGGCGGCUUGGGGCCGAAGAGCUCGUAGGGGAGCGGCACCUUGUCGACGGGGUAGACGGCGAGCGGGAAGUCCUUGCUGACGGGGCUCCCCAGGAGCAUGGAGUUGACGCCGGUGGAGAUGUUGACGUUGUUGCCCGCGCGCUUGAUGUCGUACCUGUAGGGCCCGUCGUGCCCGGACCCCUGCGUGUUGACCUUGCCGUUGAGGGUGCCGAGCAUGGAGAGGCUGUAGAACCUGGGCAGCACGCAGUAGAGCACGAGCUGGAUCUGGUCCUGCGGCGACAGGCCGUUGAGCACGCCGGCCUUGAGCUUGUCGAAGGCGUCGUUGGUGGGCGCGAAGAUGGUGAGCCCGUUGUAGCUGUCCGUCAGCUGCGCGUUGAUCUGGGUGUCCACGCGCGUGUCGUGGAGCAGCUGCUUGAACUCGCUGAACUGGUCGUCCUUGAGCGCCUUGUUCACGUCCGUCGGCGGCAACGCGUCCGCCGCCCCCGCCGGCCCGGACGCCGGCUUCGCCUUCGCCUUCUGCGCCGCGGCCAGCGCCGACGACGCCGCCAGGAGCACCACCAGGAUAGCGAGGCGGGGCGAGGCGGCCAUUGUGCCGGUUGGUGUUGUGCGUGUGCGGUGGCUGGGGGUGGAGGCGC
rnacentral:lncRNA from 1 species